UACGAGUACCCCAAGCGUUAUCCGGAAUCACUGGGCGUAAAGCGUGCGUAGGUGGAUGCUUAAGUGAGUUGUUAAAUCGUGGGGCUCAACCCUGUCGAUGCAAUUCAUACUGGGCGUCUAGAGGACGGCAGAGGCAAGUGGAAUUGGUAGUGUAGCAGUGAAAUGCGUAGAUAUUACCAGGAACACCAAUGGCGAAGGCAGCUUGCUGGGCCACUCCUGACACUGAGGUACGAAAGCGUGGGGAGCGAACAGG
rnacentral:rRNA from 1 species